rnacentral:misc_RNA from 1 species
UCCGGCUUAUCACCGGCAGUCCCCUUAGAGUGCCCAACUAAAUGAUGGCAACUAAGGGCGAGGGUUGCGCUCGUUGCGGGACUUAACCCAACAUCUCACGACACGAGCUGACGACAGCCAUGCACCACCUGUGAUCGUGCCCCGAAGGGAGAGUGUGUUUCCACACCUGUCACGAACAUGUCAAGCCCAGGUAAGGUUCUUCGCGUUGCGUCGAAUUAAACCACAUGCUCCACCGCUUGUGCGGGCCCCCGUCAAUUCCUUUGAGUUUCAGCCUUGCGGCCGUACUCCCCAGGCGGGACACUUACUGCGUUAGCUGCGUCACCGACACGCAUGCGUGCCGACAACUAGCUCUCAUCGUUUACGGCGUGGACUAC